rnacentral:lncRNA from 1 species
GAUCUAAGCACCUCGCUUACACCUAUACUACAACUCUCACCUAUAGCGUCCUAUAGAUUAGAAUACUCAAAAGAGUUGUGAACCAGAACAUACAUAAUUAGUAAUUGCAUAAUGAAUUAGAAGUAGAUUACUAGAGUCAUCCCAUGAGCAAGCUUGAUUAGAGCUUGAUCAUGACGAAGUACAACCGGAGGAAGAACCGACAGGCCGGUCUCUCCUCUAAUCCUCCUUCGCUCUCCAUCUCGCUACUAUCUAGAUCUACUCUAGUUUAGAGAAGAGAGGAGAGCUCUCAUCUCUAAACCCUAGCUUUUGCUCUGUCUAUGAAUAAUGAAUAAUGAUCAAGGGGUGCCUCCUCCAUGGGCCAGGGGGUCUGGUUAUAUAGUCCCUUCAAGUGAACCUGGGCCGUCGGAUCAAACUGACAUUGAUUGAAUGGUUAUUCUUGAUCCUUUAGGUCGGUGGAGAUCUCCCGAGAGAAAGAGUCCUGAUUGGGCUCCAAGUUAGGGCGGGCGCCCUGCCUCUGGCCCCGUUCGGCCUCCGCUUCCUUCCCGUGGCUUCUGGAGUCUUCUAGAUGUAAGAUAAUUGCGCGGCACGUUAAUAUCUCUAUGUAAUCCCGACGUGUGGGCCUUUCUUCCAUAUUUCCUGAUAACCCCCUGCAAAAAUAGACAAACACCAAAACUCAUGGAAUUCUGUCAGAUAAAACCCUAAGUCUAGAUGUUGAUUUUAUUUGGAUCCUUCUCUUUGUUUAUUUGAUAAUUAAAUUUGAUACUUAAGGACCAUCAACAAACUCCCCCAAGCUUACCUCUUGCUCGUCCCUGAGCAAGGAUAGACUCAUCAAUGGAUCAGAAGUUGUUGCAAUAUCUUAAAAAUUUGACGGUACAUGUCAUGCUUUUAAAUAAGAUCUCAUCUCUGAGUUAGAGUAAACUUUCAAGAACUAAAACUUACUUACUUUACCUGUCACCAUGGGACUUGUAACCGUCACUUCUGUCUUGAGUAGUUAAAAGAUAGAACAGUCUAGCCAAGUGUCAUGUCUCUUAUUCUUGAUCAGCUAUAGCUCUGGAGUUUUUGUAGAUUUUCAAAUAAAACUCAGAGAUUCCUUGUAUGACUCUCUAAAUCUCUCUUUUGUGGUAUUUCUAGAUCCUUACCAAGGCAAUGAUGGUAUAUUCCUUCUCUCAAGAUAUGUGGUAUUUAUGGUAUAAGGCAUAGUGACAUUGCCUUCUCUCUCACCCUACUCUAAUAAGGCUUUAAUAUCUAGAGCUCAUAGGUGGGAGACAGCUAAUACAUACUUACAAGACAUUUAUUGUAUAGUCAAACCAUGGAUCCAAAGAAACAAAUCAAUAAGCAAAAUCAAGAUGUGCAUGUGUGGCGAAUGAAUGGUGUAAUGUGAUGAUGGUGAUAACAAUGGUGAAAGUCUAAUUCUACUUUUGCUCUUUUGAGGGGAUACAUACCUUCCUUGCUUUUUGAAACUUUAUGAGGAGAAUGAGAUGCUCUAUCUUUUCUUUUUAUUUUCUCUUAGGUGGGUAUCUUGUACCCCUAAUUCUACUGUCGGACACUUGUCCAUUUUUACCUCUCGUCUCACUCUUUUUUUUUCUUUCGAGGUUCCGGGCACUUGCCCCUUUUUAUUUCCUCGUAUAUUUUUUUUCUCUCUUUUUUUAGACCACUCAUCUCAUAAGAUAAUAUAGCAAGUGGUAGUAACAAGAUAACUUGAGCAUUUAUUUCACAAGGAAAAACAGAAAUAUUUUUGGUUAUUCUCUCCCGGAUUAGGAGUAGAAUAUUUUUGGGUGGUUCUGGAGAUGGAAAUGAGUGGAUAUAUGUGGAUGGUACUUCCGGAGUAGAAGUAGCAUAUAUGAGUGAACGUGUAUUUGAAUCUUGAUUUAAACACAUGACAAGCUCCUAAGGGUCUACACAGCUUGACCACACUCAAUGCUCAUAAGCAGUAAAUAAUAAAUGUGUGGCUCAAAGUCUAGCAAGCAUGUAUAUAUGGCUGUGGUAGGAAUUUAAACUUUCAUCAUACAGGAACUCAUCAUGCAAUAUUUUAAAGAUUUUUUAAAGAUAAAAUUCUCUAGAAUUCUAGCAUCUCUAGGAAUAGAUAAACAGCAGCUCAACCUUCCCAUAUCAUAUCCGUUAACAACUUAGAUUUCAGAUCAAGUUUUUAUCCCACAAAUUUAGAUCUAGAGCAAGCUUUAAAUUAUAACAGUUUUGUCUAAACUUGAGAGAGAACUUCAAAUUUGUAAAUUAGGCAGAGCAACUAUUCAUCAUAUCCAUGCUAGAGUUUUAUUAUUAAGAUUCAGAUUAGCAUAGCCACUUUAUUUAUUUAUUAAACACACUAAGUAAAAGAUAUAUAUAUAAGCACAAAAUCUAUAUUUGGUUUUUCAUAGUUUAUGUAUUUUAAUAUUCUAACAUAAUAUAAGUAUAAAGAUAGUUAGAAAUACUUAGCGAGAUAAAUGGGGGUGCUCUCCCCCAAGCUGAAUUUUGACGUAAUUUCUCUUGAUGUAGUUAGCAGGUGGCAGAGUUGUAUUUGAAAGUCAGCAGCAUUCUGACAGCGAUUAGAAUGUCCUCCGUCUCCUAGUCUUCUUGAUUCUUAAAUUCUAUGGAGCUCAAAUAGACAACAAAGCUUGUGGAACUAAUUAAGUGUUAGCAUAAAAAUCUAGCCUUCAUCAUGUUGAGCUUCCUCAAUAAAUAUUACUCCCUGUUUUUAUAUUUUUAUUUUAUAAAGCAGAAAAGAAAUAUUUAUUUUAUUUUUAUGCCACCACAGUGAAGGUACUUAUGGGUUUUAUACCACUCGUAUACUCACAUGGGGCUUAGUAUUUUUUAACAUUUUUAUUUUCUUUUCAAGAUAGUAUGAUUAACUAAUCAUCUAUUUAAGGAAAGUAAAUAAUUAAAGGGAAAAGGAAAUGCAGAAAGGAUAAAUAUGGAUAACUACUGAUCUUACCUUUCGGCGAGGGUUCAAUGUUUUAAGUCUUCUUAACAAGACUUCUCACCGUGUUCAUUCUUCAGGUGCGUCAUUUGAUUCAGGUGCGGACCUUGACGUCUGCACCUCUUGAUACGGUGUCACCCAUGUUCUUCGUUUGCCCAGCAGUUCGAAGUGCGGCAUUGGCAGUAACCUGCUCAGUGUGUUUGUGCUCGUAGAUCUAGGUCCUUCACUUGGUAGAGUCUGAGAGUUAUAAAACUCCUCCGUGUUUUGCUCGAAGUGUACCUUGCUUGAAGAGUGAUGGUACAGUAUCACCUUGUGGACGCUUUCCUUUCUUAGCGGUUGUGCAUCGUGUUUGUGGCACCCUCCAUGGAUCAUCUUUCUAUGAUGAAUGAGCUAUGUCCUUCUUGUGCAAAUUAUUAAACUUCAUGUGUCACUCUCUUCAUCUCUGAUGUGAGUUUAUCUCAGGACUUCCUAGAUUGAUAGCGAAAGUUUUCCUGCAGGGGUUAGUCCGACAAAAUAUACCAAUAUCUACUCAAGCAGUUUUUAGUUCAGUAACCAAACUAGACUCCAUGUCUAAUCAGAUUAAGGAAGGCUAUUUAACCUAAGCACCAUGCUUAAUUUAAAUGCCAAUGGAAGUAUGGCGAGUACUUCCAAACUAACACUUGCUAGUAAAUAGACAAAGGUAACAUGACAGC